UGCUGGGGGAGUGCGUGAGCACCUUGCUGCUCAUGGGGGCCUCCUACAGGACCGAGGUGGGAGUGCUGGCGACGCUCGCCGGGAGCUCCUCGCACCACGGACCGACACGUGUCCCCCCCAGGACCUGAGAAGUGGGCGCACGUGUCUGCACACGGUGGCCGAGGAGACCGACGUGGAGCUGCUGCGCCUCUUCCUGGAACGGCCUGACUCGCUGUCCGCCGUCAACGACAAGGCGCACGACGGCAACAGCGCGCUGCAGGGCAGGGUUGCCCCCCGCUGGAGGAGGUCAAGCUGCUCCUUAGGAAGGGGGCAGACCCGGGUGCGAGGAACCUGGACAACGAGCAGCUGGCCCACCUGGUGCCCAAGGGACCGGCGAAGACCAGGUGCGGCAAAUUCUGAAGGGGGGGGCAGCGUGGCGAGGAGCAGCCCCCGUAGAGACCUGCUGUCAGUCAGACAGGCCUGUGUGUUGUUCAGAACUAUUUGUCAGCAUGAGACAAAUGUUUCCAUGACACACUCAUAGUGUGUUUGCUGCCGCGCGGCACAACCUGCAGGAGGAAGUGGACCAUGGAUCGGUGGGUUCAAGGAUCGGUCAACCCAGGUAACAGGAAGCAGCCAGGAAAGCAACCCUUCGGCACGUGACCGGGUGACACACGGCUGGGCUUGUGCCGUUGCUUGGAGGUGUGUGUGUGUGUGUGUGUGUGUGUGUGUUGGGCGGUCUCCUCUGCGACGCCUAGUUUCGCUGAGGACAAAUACGUGGGAAAUAUCCUAAAAAUAAGUGCAGGAAGUUCCAGCGCUCGGCAUCCCUCUUCUCCUUCUGUCUCACCUUCUUCCUCUUUUCAUUCGUCCCUUCCGCAGUCGUCCCCUCCUCACAAAUCUUUUCUUCAUUCAUCCCCUCCUCACUCGUCCCAUCUUCGCUCGUCCCAGCCCUAAUUUGACCACCGUCGACUGUAGUGCAGCCCCGUGGCGAGUUGCAAGCAUAGAACGAGCUGUUUCCCGCUUACAUCGCAC
rnacentral:lncRNA from 1 species